rnacentral:rRNA from 1 species
GACGAACGCUGGCGGCGUGCCUAAUACAUGCAAGUAGAACGCUGAAGGAGGAGCUUGCUUCUCCGGAUGAGUUGCGAACGGGUGAGUAACGCGUAGGUAACCUGCCUGGUAGCGGGGGAUAACUAUUGGAAACGAUAGCUAAUACCGCAUAACAGUAGAUAUUGCAUGAUAUCUGCUUGAAAGGUGCAAUUGCAUCACUACCAGAUGGACCUGCGUUGUAUUAGCUAGUUGGUGAGGUAACGGCUCACCAAGGCGACGAUACAUAGCCGACCUGAGAGGGUGAUCGGCCACACUGGGACUGAGACACGGCCCAGACUCCUACGGGAGGCAGCAGUAGGGAAUCUUCGGCAAUGGACGGAAGUCUGACCGAGCAACGCCGCGUGAGUGAAGAAGGUUUUCGGAUCGUAAAGCUCUGUUGUAAGAGAAGAACGAGUGUGAGAGUGGAAAGUUCACACUGUGACGGUAUCUUACCAGAAAGGGACGGCUAACUACGCGCCAGCAGCCGCGGUAAUACGUAGGUCCCGAGCGUUGUCCGGAUUUAUUGGGCGUAAAGCGAGCGCAGGCGGUUAGAUAAGUCUGAAGUUAAAGGCUGUGGCUUAACCAUAGUACGCUUUGGAAACUGUUUAACUUGAGUGCAAGAGGGGAGAGUGGAAUUCCAUGUGUAGCGGUGAAAUGCGUAGAUACAUGGAGGAACACCGGUGGCGAAAGCGGCUCUCUGGCUUGUAACUGACGCUGAGGCUCGAAAGCGUGGGGAGCAAACAGG